rnacentral:tRNA from 1 species
GUAUAUGUAGCUCAGAGGAUAGAGCAACCGCCUCCUAAGCGGUAGGCCGGGGGUUCGACUCCCCCCAUGUACA